rnacentral:rRNA from 1 species
AUUGAACGCUGGCGGCAGGCUUAACACAUGCAAGUCGAGCGGAGAUGAGGUGCUUGCGCCUUAUCUUAGCGGCGGACGGGUGAGUAAUGCUUAGGAAUCUGCCUAUUAGUGGGGGACAACAUUCCGAAAGGAAUGCUAAUACCGCAUACGCCCUACGGGGGAAAGCAGGGGAUCUUCGGACCUUGCGCUAAUAUAUGAGCCUAAGUCGGAUUAGCUAGUUGGUGGGGUAAAGGCCUACCAAGGCGACGAUCUGUAGCGGGUCUGAGAGGAUGAUCCGCCACACUGGGACUGAGACACGGCCCAGACUCCUACGGGAGGCAGCAGUGGGGAAUAUUGGACAAUGGGCGGAAGCCUGAUCCAGCCAUGCCGCGUGUAUGAAGAAGGCCUUUUGGUUGUAAAGCACUUUAAGCGAGGAGGAGGCUACCUGGAUUAAUACUCUAGGAUAGUGGACGUUACUCGCAGAAUAAGCACCGGCUAACUCUGUGCCAGCAGCCGCGGUAACAC